rnacentral:rRNA from 1 species
ACGAACGCUGGCGGCGUGCUUAACACAUGCAAGUCGAACGGAAAGGCCCUGCUUUUGUGGGGUGCUCGAGUGGCGAACGGGUGAGUAACACGUGAGUAACCUGCCCUUGACUUUGGGAUAACUUCAGGAAACUGGGGCUAAUACCGGAUAGGAGCUCCUGCUGCAUGGUGGGGGUUGGAAAGUUUCGGCGGUUGGGGAUGGACUCGCGGCUUAUCAGCUUGUUGGUGGGGUAGUGGCUUACCAAGGCUUUGACGGGUAGCCGGCCUGAGAGGGUGACCGGCCACAUUGGGACUGAGAUACGGCCCAGACUCCUACGGGAGGCAGCAGUGGGGAAUAUUGCACAAUGGGCGGAAGCCUGAUGCAGCAACGCCGCGUGCGGGAUGACGGCCUUCGGGUUGUAAACCGCUUUCGCCUGUGACGAAGCGUGAGUGACGGUAAUGGGUAAAGAAGCACCGGCUAACUACGUGCCAGCAGCCGCGGUGAUACGUAGGGUGCGAGCGUUGUCCGGAUUUAUUGGGCGUAAAGGGCUCGUAGGUGGUUGAUCGCGUCGGAAGUGUAAUCUUGGGGCUUAACCCUGAGCGUGCUUUCGAUACGGGUUGACUUGAGGAAGGUAGGGGAGAAUGGAAUUCCUGGUGGAGCGGUGGAAUGCGCAGAUAUCAGGAGGAACACCAGUGGCGAAGGCGGUUCUCUGGGCCUUUCCUGACGCUGAGGAGCGAAAGCGUGGGGAGCGAACAGGCUUAGAUACCCUGGUAGUCCACGCUGUAAACGGUGGGUACUAGGUGUGGGGUCCAUUCCACGGGUUCCGUGCCGUAGCUAACGCUUUAAGUACCCCGCCUGGGGAGUACGGCCGCAAGGCUAAAACUCAAAGGAAUUGACGGGGCCCCGCACAAGCGGCGGAGCAUGCGGAUUAAUUCGAUGCAACGCGUAGAACCUUACCUGGGUUUGACAUGGAUCGGGAGUGCUCAGAGAUGGGUGUGCCUCUUUUGGGGUCGGUUCACAGGUGGUGCAUGGCUGUCGUCAGCUCGUGUCGUGAGAUGUUGGGUUAAGUCCCGCAACGAGCGCAACCCUUGUUCACUGUUGCCAGCACGUUAUGGUGGGGACUCAGUGGAGACCGCCGGGGUCAACUCGGAGGAAGGUGGGGAUGACGUCAAGUCAUCAUGCCCCUUAUGUCCAGGGCUUCACGCAUGCUACAAUGGCUGAUACAGAGAGUGGCGAGCCUGUGAGGGUGAGCGAAUCUCGGAAAGCCGGUCUCAGUUCGGAUUGGGGUCUGCAACUCGACCUCAUGAAGUCGGAGUCGCUAGUAAUCGCAGAUCAGCAACGCUGCGGUGAAUACGUUCCCGGGGCUUGUACACACCGCCCGUCAAGUCAUGAAAGUUGGUAACACCCGAAGCCGGUGGCCUAACCGUUGUGGGGGAGCCGUCGAAGGUGGGACUGGUGAUUAGGA